GCAACGGGGAAUGAGGUUCUCCCCAAGAUUAUAUCUUAAACCGCUUUUAAAGCUGAUGACCUCUGCGUUU
rnacentral:ncRNA from 1 species